GAUGAACGCUAGCGGAAGGCUUAAUACAUGCAAGUCGAGCGGUAGUCCCUUUGGGGGGAUGAGAGCGGCGCACGGGUGAGUAACGCGUACAUGACCUGCCUAUCAGAAGGGGAUAGCCCUGGGAAACUGGGAUUAAUACCCUAUGGCAUUGUAUUUUUAAAUGGAUACAAUUAAAGCUGAGGCGCUGAUAGAUGGAUGUGCGUCUGAUUAGCUAGUUGGUGGGGUAAAGGCCCACCAAGGCGACGAUCAGUAGGGGGCGUGAGAGCGUGGUCCCCCACACGGGUACAGAGACACGGACCCGACUCCUACGGGAGGCAGCAGUAAGGAAUAGUGGUCAAUGCCCGCAAGGGUGAACCAGCCAUUCCGCGUGGAGGAUGAAGGCCCUAUGGGUUGUAAACUUCUUUUAGAUGGGAAGAAAAUGCUUUGUUUACAAGGUACUGACGGUACCAUCAGAAUAAGCACCGGCUAACUCCGUGCCAGCCGCCGCCGUAA
rnacentral:rRNA from 1 species